AGAUGUUCCCAGGACGCGAGCUAAGUCUGCCCGGCCGGCGCGCGCCGCUUCCGCUUUGGUGGGAAGGACCUCCCUUCCCCCUUAUAGAAACACUUUCUCCAGGCCGGGCCGGGCUUGGUAAACCUCAGCCGUGCCUGGGUAGAGGACGCCGGGCUGGGCCGAGCGGGGGUGGAAUGAGGGCGUCUAGAACAGAGAAAACUAAGUAGGAUGGGGUCGUCCCCCCAGUAAUCUGGAAAACAGUUACAGCAACAGGCUCCUCUCAUCAGACGGCAGUGCUGGUCGUUUCCUCACUGGUUUGCGGGGAAGGCUGGGCAGAAAAAGGAUGCAACCUUGUUCUCAACCACUUGCUAUCUCGUGAUUCAGGGAUUGGAUGAGUCUCUAUGGUUUGUUUUGCCCUGAAGAGCAGAAGGCUUCUGUCCCAACUGGUGUUGCCAAAGCAACAUAUUAAUUCCAUGCCAUGAUCCUGGGUCAAGAUCUGCACAAUCUGAUUGGGCAUGUCACCUCGGAUGGCAAGGGAGUGGAAGUGGUCAAAAUCAUGGAGUCCCAGCUUUCGGAGACGCCUUGCAGCUGCCCGGUGAAGAAAAUGCACAAUGGAAACCACCCAGAUGUCCAGUGAUAGUGGCAUGGACAAAUAAAUGUGGUAUAAUCAUGAAGAUAGAAUACUAAAUAGCAGUUAAAAAAUGAAGGCACCCAGCUUGGUGCACAACAUGGAUGAUUCUCACAAAUACAUAAUGUUGAGAAAAAAAGCAAGCCAUAACAGAAAAUAUAUGAAAAGCAUCCAUUUACAUGAAGCUCAAAAAUGGGUGAAAUUAAAGUACAUCAUUCAGGGAAGAAAAACAGUACACUAUAAAGAAAAGCAAGGAAACAACAGAAGGCUAGUUGUUACCUCUGGGUAGAGAUAGAGGUUUAUGAACAGGAAAAGGCAUAUAGGGGAAGUUGUGGGGUGCUGAAAAUGUUUAUUAUUUAUUUAUUUAUUUAUUUUUGAGACAGGAUCUUACUCUGUUUCCCAGGCUGGAGUACAGUGGUGUGAUCACUGCAACCUUGACUUCCCAGGCUCCAGAGAUCCUCCUACUUCAGCCUUAUGAGUAGCUGGAACCACAGGUGCACACCACCAUGCCCAGCUAAUUUUUGUAUUUUUGGUAGGGAUGAGAUUUUGCCAUGUUGCCCAGGCUGAUCUCAAACUCCCGAGCUCAAGCAAUCCACCAGCGUCAGUCUCUGAAAAUGCUGGGAUUACAGCGUCAGCCACUGCACCCAGCAGUUUUUUGGGUUUUUUGUUGUUGUUUUAUUUGAGACAGGGUCUCACUUCGUCACCCAGGCUGGGGUAUGUGGCACAAUCAAGGCUCACUGCAGCCUCGACCUCCUGGGUUCAAGCGAUCCUCCUCCCUCAGCUCUCUAAGUAGCUGGGACUACAGAUGCCCACCACCACACCUGGCUAAUUUUUUUUAGAGAUGGGGUUUUGCCAUGUUGCCCAGGCUGGGAAAGGAGUUUUUAAAAUUGAAAAAAAAAAGCACCCAUAAAUUAUGGUACAUCUAUCCAAUGAAACAUUAGGAAGCUGCUAAAAAAAGAAUGUGGUGAUAUAAAUAAUCUCAGAAUUAAAAGCUACUAAUAGUGUGUUACCAUUUGUAAAACUAAAAGGGGGGUACUUAUAUGUACGUAAAUGCUGGUAUACACACAAGACUGAUACCUAAGAAAUUAUAAACAGUAGUGCCACUGUGUGGGGGAAAAGGAGGAUUUAGGGUUGGGAGUAGAGACUUACUUUUUAGUAUAUACCCCUUUGUAGUUUGAAUUUUUUUGUUUUAUCAAGCGCAAGCAUUUUUUUUCCCUUUCCUGACUACAAAGAUCCACAAGAAAAAGCAUUUUUUAAAAACUGCAAAACAGAAAGCUCCAUAAACGUACAGCCAGGUUUGGGAACCACUACCCUAGUUAGCUGCCAACUAUGUCUUUACCUCUCAUGUGUAUACUACUCUCAACUUUAAAAUCUCUGGUGGUUUCCUAAUGCCUUUCGUGAAAUCCCAAGCCUUAACCUCAGUCUCUCUUUUCCAUUGUUUUUACCCUCUGACUUCCCGUAUCAUCACAGCGGAGAAAUUUUGCAGGGGACACAGGACAUCAACCCAUCUCCUCAUUCCAGUCUUUGAGACUGUAUCCAAAUGUCCCCUUCCUACUAUCAUCUGAGUCCCACAAGGUCUGAAGUCGUCCCCCAAAGUCUCUUCUGUAAAAGGACAGCAACGUAACAGAAUUGUCCCCCGCCCUCCAGAUGCUGGACUGGAGUGAUGGAGGGAGCGCAGAGAGGGUACUAACUUUUGAAGCAUUUGCCGUGGUAAGUUCAGACUGCCUGCUAGUGUAGAAUAUCCCAGUGGCUACAAAUAGGUGUGGGAGAGACAUUUCCUUAUUUUGCAUGUGGUUUGAUUAUAAUCAUAUGCCUAAGAAUAGUUUGCAGCAAGAAGAGUGGCAGUGCCGCCCUUCUCCAUUCCCUUGGGCAAAAUGCUUUAUUUGCUUCUCGAUCCUCUCCACUGUACUCUGUCAACUCACUGUUUUGUUUUGUUUUUGAGACGGAGUCUCGCUCUGUCGCCCAGGCUGGAGUGCAGUGGCACUAGCUCGGCUCACUGCAAGCUCCGCCUCCCGGGUUCACGCCAUUCUCCUGCCUCAGCCUCCGGAGUAGCUGGACUACAGGCGCCCGCCACCACGACCGGCUAAUUUUUUGUAUUUUUAGUAGAGACGGGGUUUCACCGUGUUAGCCAGGAUGGUCUCGAUCUCGUGACCUUGUGAUCCACCCGCCUCGGCCUCCGAAAGUGCUGGGAUUACAGGCGUGAGCCAGCGCGCCCGGCCUACUCACUUUUUUUGAAAUAAACAUGCAGGUCCCAGGGUCUGUCCUGCACUGUAUAGCACACAUGAGUCUCAAUAUCAGGCAUGAUUCUGUCACCCUUGGCUCUUCUCUCCCAGUAAACCAAACCUAACCCCAUGUUCCCAAACGUGUGUCUCUGGAAGCCCCCUCUCCCCAGCCAAAGCGCCAGGCACGCUGGACAGAGGCCACCCUAGAUACAAGGACCGUUCCCACCUGGGGUCUGGCCCUGAAAGAAAAGUGGGAACGUAGUCGACAAGGACUCCUCUCCAAGAGAGAUUCCUAAGACAGAUGGUGGAACCCUGGCGGGCAGGCAGCAGCGGCACUGGCUCAGUCAAAGCCACGCUUUAUACUCGUUUUGGGAAAGUUUCGAUGGGUGUUAGCCCAGGCCAGAACCACAGUGGAUGUGUAGGCAGCCAACCACUUGGCUCCGGAUGCUCCAAUCCCUCCCCUGUCACUCACCCCGGAGUUACACCCCACGUCGAGCCCCAGAAUCGGCCCGUUCUCGGGACUCUCAGGAAAGAGCUGUCGAAGCAGCUCCGGGGGCAGGAGGCGGAGCCGUUGCUCCGGAGGGUGGAAGCGAGAAUAAUGAGGAAAAUUUCCGAACGGGGCGGCGCCAGGUGCCAGAACUCGCGAUUCCUCUUCCGCUGCGGUCUCCUUAACACUCCCUCCAUCCAGUUCCGUGGGCACCGCCAUUAGCCUCAACACAGCCUCUGGGCCGUGGCGGAACCGGAAGCCGGGAACCUGCUGUCGGCGUGGGCGGUGGCGGUGCCAGCGCGCGUGCGUCGAACGGCUAGGGCGGGUGGCUAGAAUUCUGCGGUGAAUCAGAAAAGCUGUCCUGAUUUCCUCUCGCUGUAUACCUGGAGCCGGCGAGCGCCUGGGGCUUGCCUUGUAUUAUUGAACCCUCAUCACAACACUGGGAGGGGAUUAGCAAUAUCAUCCACGUUUUACAGGGAUGAAACAAACUCUGAGGGCUAAGUGUCUUGGCCAAGCUGACAUAGUUUGAAACUUGGGCUACUUGACCCAGAACAAGUAUACUAGUUUGUUGGGAUCUUGGAAAUCAAUUUUAGUCCAAUUUCCUUUCUUUAUAAAUGCAAAAAGUGAGACCGAGAGAACUUACUUGUCUGGGGUCAUACAUUGAAUCUGUGACUCAAAAACUUCCACCCGGUUCAGGAAAGGGUAGCCAGGAGGUGCAGGUCACUUGCGAAGCCAGCCGACUCAGCCCUGUCCCCCAGGGGCAACUGUAGACCAUGAGCUCCUUGAGAGGCAAGGACCGUGCCUUAAGAGCCAGCACUUAAAGAGUGCUUACCAGGCACCAGACACCCUUGUAAGCUCCUUAGUCAAUCCUCUCACCCCGUGAGAAAAUGACCGUAUUAUUAUUCUUUUUAUAUAGAUGAGGACACUGGAGUAAAACAAAGUAACUUGUCCAAGAUCCCACAGUUAGAAAUGAUGGUACUAGGAUUCGAACCCAGGGAGUUUGGAUCCAGAGGAUGUGCUUGCAACGGUGUGUUAUUCUCAGCCUUGAGUCUCCUAUACUUAACAUGGGCCUGGCACAAAGAUGCUCAACAAAUGUUGUUGAAUGAAAACUCAAUAGAGAAUACAAUAAGGCCAGAUCUGUUUGGGGAAACUUUAAAUGGAAGGGAGAAAGGAUGCCAACUGAAGCAGACAUAGUGGAAUGGAGUUGGGCAAGAUGUGACUCAGAGAUUGGAAAUAACAGAGCUGAUAAGGAGAGGAACUGAAGGGUCAACCUAGGUAGCAGGUUCCAGUCAAAAGCCAGGAUGGCCCAGAAUAUCCGUCAGGGUCAACCAAGCAUCAGCAGAGUUGUGCAGGACCCCCAACCCCACCCCUGCACCUGGCCCACCCAUCUUAAAGGGGUAUCCUGCUCCAUGAGGCUGGCAGUUCGGUAAACUUCUUAUAAGGCACUGGAGCAUGACUCCUGCAAACAGUACCAUCAGGAGUUAAAAUAAGCGCUGUUUUCCUCUCAGUUUUUACUUUAUAUUUUCUUUUUCUUUUCUCCUUUUUUUGAGAUAGAGUCUCACACUAUUGCCUGGGCUGGAGUGCAAUGACAUGAUCUCGGCUCACUGCAACCUUUGCCUCCCAGGUUCAAGUGAUUCUCCUGCCUCAGCCUCCCAAGUAGCUGGAAUUACAGGCACCCGCCACCAUUCCUGGCUAAGUUUUUGUAUUUUUUAGUAGAGACGGGGUUUCACUAUGUUGGCCAGGCUGGUCUCGAACUCCUGACCUCGUGAUCUGCCCACCUCGGCCUCCCAAAGUGUUGGGAUUACAGGCGAGAGCCACCACGCCCAGCCUUUAUAUUUUCAUCUCUAUCUGGCCUGCUGUUUCUCUAGUUUCACUUAUUUGAGGACACAAGUUAAUAAAAGUCACUCUGGAAUUUAGUAAACCACAGUAUUCUGCACAAUUACAGAAAAGGAGAAAAAGCUGCACCGUUUUGACAAAUUUUGGUGAGCUGAGCUGAACUUACCUCUUUUUGUCACUAGAUGAAGCUAGCACAAAUAAUUAACAAUUUUCAAGGAGCUGGAAUCACCUUGCUUCCAGGACAGUGAAUGGCAAGAACUCCUGACCCUGGGGUUCCUCCAGAAGCAAAGAUAGGCCCUCGUAACAUUACUGGUAAUCUAAAAUGCCUGACAGGUGACCUCAUAAAGAGGUGUUUUAAUUUGAUCCACUCUGGUAACUUUUCUAACCUAUGACCACUUUUCAGAGCCUGAACAGCACAGGUGUCUUGACAAUACUUGACAAUACCAGCCCCAGCACCUUAAAUAGCUGUAGCAGCACCUAAGAGCUCGCUCUGCACUUUGGUCAGCCAGGUUUUAUGGAGUGAGAUGCAUAUAUAAUUUCAAGGGAAAGGGGAAGAAGGGGCGCCCUCUUUAAGGAAAAAACUCCCACCAACUUACAAAUAUAAAGACAGGUAUAAAAGUGAAUAUUUAUUUAUAAUGAGAAAUCACAACAAAUUACAAAUUUUGAAAAGCUGACUACUAAAAGCAUCACAACAAAUUUUCUAUAGGCUUGGUGUGGUGGCUCACACCUGUAAUCCCAGCACUUUGGGAGGCCGAGGCGGGCGGAUCACGAGGUCAGGAGAUCGAGACCAUCCUGGCUAACACGGUGAAACCCCUCUCUACUAAAAAUACAAAAAAUUAGCCGGGCGAGGUGGCGGUCGCCUGUAGUCCCAGCUACUCGGGAGGCUGAGGCAAGAGAAUGGCGUGAACCCCAGGGGGCGGAGCCUGCAGUGAGCCGAGAUCGUGCCACUGCACUCUAGCCUGGGCGACAGCAAGACUCCGUCUCAAAAAAAAAAAAAAAAUUCUAUAAUAGUUUGAUUGAUUAAAUGCUAGUCACACUUGAAUAUUACUUUUUUUCUUACAUUUUUGGCUGCAUACUCUUUGAUUGCUUCUUCACAUGACAAUCACUUGAUAAUAUCAUUUUAGAGAGAGACCAGGAAGGUAAUUCAGUCUUUUCUUAGCCUGGUGGAUCAAAUUUGUCUUUUAUUAUUUGUGGCAGUUAUAAAAGUUUCUUUCAAGUUCACAAGUUGUUAUUGGCAAUGUCAUGUAAAUUUUUUGGUUUGUUAUCAAAUUGGGGGAGAACUUUGAUUAAAUUUCUUUCAUUUAUUAGCUGGAAGAUUUCAGAGCAUUUCAAAUUUUCUUGUGCAAGAAAUAAUCUUAGAUCUACUCUUCAAAUGGACUGUAUUCAUUAGCCAAUUUGUCGUUGAAAACCUUAUUAUGAAUGAUGCAUUAUAAAAUUUUUAUCAUCUGCAUUGAUAGCAGUAAUUUGUGUCAAGUCAGCAAAGGAAUUUAAACAUAGGGAUUCUGAUAAAUUGUGUAUUGUACAAUUCCCAUCAAGAAAUAAAAGAAUGCAUGGUGCAUUUAUAAUUAUAUAUG
rnacentral:lncRNA from 1 species